rnacentral:piRNA from 1 species
UCCAUCUUGACUUGUCCAGGGCCUCUUGC